UGAUCCAUCUACUAUCAUUGGCAAAAUUCAACUUAGUAGACAAAGAGAGGAAUCAUCAUUCCCUCAGAAAUAACUGACCCUGAUGACUAACCAGGAAGGGAGGAUAAGCUUGGUGCCCAGAAAAUCCACUUGGGCACCUCUUGAUACUUCCUGCCCAAUUGUGACAGCAAAUGGACAAGUAUACAAAUUAUUAUGUACCAAAGAAGACGUGGUUCCCCGGGAACCAGACCUGUAGGAUAAGGACCUGACCCAAACCAUGGGGCAAACUGCUAAGACCAGCAGAGGUGUUCUCAGAGAAUGAUAAGAAUCUUCAGCGGAUAGUGGAGGAGAGGCAAGAUGAACUCAGCUACAGCCCUGACAUCAGGGCUGUAAUUCUUUCCACUCAACUUCCACUUCUACAUUUCCCCUAGAAAACAGGUCUACUGGAUCUGGGAGGAGGUAUUCCAGAAUGUAUGUGAAGAAGUGGGUCUAAGCAGCACAAGGGUUAAACUGCUGUCAACACAAUGAAAACAGGUCUACUGGAUCUGGGAGGAGGUGUUCCAGAAUGUAUGUGAAGAAGUGGGUCUAAGCAGCACAAGGGUUAAACUGCUGUCAACACAAUGAAACAUGUUUUCGGUGGAAAAGCUCCAGGUUCCAGCAAGUGUAUGUGGUACCUGAUGGGGUGUGUUUGUGAGCAUAUGUGAGACACCAGGUGAAGAUGCCUAAAACAUUUCAAGAAAGUGAGAUUUCAAAAGGAGACUGAAGUCCUGCAUUAUGUGGGAAGGUCUGCCUUCUUCAUCAAGAUGAAAUGUGUGUAGUAAGGAUGGGCAUGAAAGUCAGCUGGAAAACUUUCUGGUUUGUAUUUCAAAAGUUUAAACCUCAGCAGAAAAGAGAAAGUACAGGUGGGGACAAAAUGACUUGGAGAAAAUUGAAGUAAAAGAGCUUCUGUCUGUUAAUAAUAAUGUUAAAAAGACUCUUUAGGUUCAAUGAGGGCCAGAGGCAUGGGUUUGGACAUGGGAACCUGGAUCAUACUUUGCAGUAGUAGUGCAAGGGAGGGAGCAAGAUAGACCCUAGAAAGGCACAAUCGCAGGGUGCUUGAGACCCCAGGGUGCAUGGAGUUCACAGCCUUGGUAAAAAUAUCCAUGCAGUGAACCUGGUGCAGAAGCAGCUCAGAGCUGCUGGACGUGAGGGGAUGAUGUGGACUGCAUGCGGUCAGGGCUGUGAAGAGAUGACCAACAACCCAUGGGCUAUAUUCCACCUGCUGGAUGCUGCAGCACUGCAUAAGAUUCCAGAACUGUGACCCAUCCUGGGUAAGUUGGGGGUCAAGCUCCAAGAAUGAACAAGGUUAAAUUUCAACACAUCAGAGGAAGGCUGCUGGUGGUGCUCAGAAUCAGGAAAUCCCUUGUUGUAGAAGAUUUCUUCUACACUUGUAUCUGUGAACUGAAAUUCACAGCCACUAGAUUCAUAUUAUCAGAAAAAGGUACCAAGAUCACUUACACGUUUCAAGUUAAUGACAGUGGCUAUUAUGACAGGCUCUUUCAAAUCACAAGCCAAAAUGACAAGGUAGGAAAUCUUAAGUGAUGGGGCUUUAAAGUAAGGAAGACAAGUAUCUGUUUUACAGUCAGACCCUCUGCGCACUGGAAUGAAGCCGGAAGGUCAUGUGGGACGUUAGCCAUUUGUGUCAUUGUGUUCUCAUGAUGCCGUGGGUCCCUGCUGCAGUCCGGUACCAUUCUGAUGACUCAGCUACUCUUUGCAGUCCCCUGUUCCUGCUAUUCCACUCUCUCCAUGGUCUUUCUUAGCUCUCCCCAUUCAUGGUGUCUGACAGCUCUUGGCAUUAUUGUCUCAUGGCUUCUGAUCAUUGUCUUUUCUCUGGGUGUUUGUUUGGUUUUGUUCUUUUCAUUUUUUGGAUUCCACCCCUGUAAUAACCUGCUGACUCACUCUGUGUGUUAAACACUCGACUGUUACAAGAGAAGAUACUGGUUCAUUCAUUCAGUCAUGGCCACUUUUGUCAGGCAGAGUUCCCCACUAGGGUCAUCUCUACUGCACUGAGGGCUGUGGGUUCUUGAAACUUUUACAGCCUACUUCACAAGGAGUGUGGUGGGGACAUACUCAUGAGAAUAAUGAUAAUAGCUACCACUUACUGAGUGUUGACUGUGGGCUAGGCAAUAUUUCAGGUGAUUUAUAGUAGUCUGUUCAAACCUCUGAAUAAAAUUCCUAUUUUAUAGAUGAGAAAGCUGAGGUGGUGAGAGGUGAGCAGUAUUUCCAAGGUCACACGCCAAUAAACAGCAGAGCCAGGGUUCUAGCUGGGCAGUUUGGCUUUUAAGUCACUAAAUUUCCAAUGCAACUGUAUUUAAAGAAACCUAUGCUGGAGUUGCUGUACAUAGCAGAGGGGGCCAGCUGACCACCUAAGAUUCAAGUUCCGUGUUCAUAGUGGAGAGCUAUUACUGGAAAGCAGCUGUCCAGCCAAGGACUAUGUUUUCUAGUCUCUCUGAAUCUAAGGACUGGUUCUGGCCAACAUGAACAGAAGUGACGUUCUUUCGCAUUUGGGUCAAGGAGGUAAACACCUGGAGUGCCUUCUACAUGUUCUAUUUCCCUUCCACAGAACCUUGGAACCAACCUAUUUAAGAUGGUAGUGCUAUAAGAUGGGAAGAGCCUAGUUCUCUGAGCAACCAUUUGGAGAAAAAUUGCCUAGGAGAACUACAUGAUCAGGAAUAUUGACUAGACUUUAUAGAAGUAGAAAUAAACUUUAAAGUGCUGAGAUUUGGGGUUUAUUUAUUAUAGCAGUGAGCCUGCUCUGACAACUGCAUCAUGUAAACACCCACUUCUUGAAUAAAACUUGCAAAUUUAUUGAUACAUAUGUGGUUGAGACGUUCUAACCAAACAAAUGUCUUGGAAACUGAUAUUAAGUGAGAUGAUGCACACAAUUCUGACAAAGGCUCUGGGAAGAAAGGGCUUCUCUGAUAG